AUUCUGGAGCUCAACAUCUGGCAACACUGGUGCCGGUGGACAAAUAUAGAGACUUUGGUUCGGUUUAAAGAAAUUAGGAAUUAGGUGACACGAUGACCACGUUGCGACCCUUUACCUGCGACGACCUCUUUAAGUUCAACAAUGUAAACUUUGACCCACUCACGGAAACCUAUGGGCUGCCCUUCUACACGCAGUAUUUGGCCAAGUGGCCGGAGUACUUUCAGCUGGCGGAGUCUCCCAGUGGACAAAUAAUGGGCUACAUCAUGGGCAAGGUUGAGGGUCACCUGGACAACUGGCACGGACAUGUGACGGCGUUGACGGUUUCACCCGAUUACCGGCGACUUGGACUCGCUGCGCUGCUCAUGAGCUUCCUGGAGGACAUUUCGGAGAAAAAGCGGGCAUACUUUGUAGACCUGUUUGUGCGAAAAAGCAACCAAGUGGCAAUAAACAUGUACACGAAUCUCGGCUACAUUAUAUACCGCACUAUAUUGGAGUACUAUUCCGGUGACCAGGAUGAGGAUGCAUACGACAUGAGAAAGGCGUUAUCGAGGGACGUGAACAAGAAGUCGGUCAUACCGUACACACAGCCUGUACGACUGGAAGAUAUAGAUAUGAAUUGAUACGAUUCAACCCAGUAGCGCCCGCAAUCGCAUUUAAUGUCUAACCGAUCCCGAUCCACCAUACAUAUUUAUAAAGGGCACCGCGAGCGCAUCAAUUCGCCGCCCAAAUUGAUUUAUAAUUAAAAUUAGACUUGUAAAUAAUCCGCAAUCCCGUGAAUUUCUCGGUGAUAACAUGUCCUUGUAUUUUAACCGAUUUUAAACCGGUUUCCUGCUUGCAAACCGAAACAACCCUCUGAAAACUAUGAAUCUGCAAUAUUUACAUCCCACCCACAAAGUUUAACCUGUAAUAAUUUUGUCUGCCCCUUACAAAGUUUACCUAGAUUUUUUUCUAUAUUUCUAUUGACUUUGAAAUUAUUUAAAGAUUUCUUAAGCCGAUGCGUAAAUAACUGUAUUUCAAAGAUUGUUCCACAGUUUCGAAGAUUACGAUGCGCGAGUUGCGCAGACAAAUGCGACAUGAUCAUUAAAUGGAAGAAUCAGCGGCAGAAUCAGCGGCUAAAAUAAGGUCUUUCGACUUUCAACUAUUACUGUUUUGUUUCAAGUAGAUACCCCUUUUAAUAAAAAUGAUGCAUAUAUGAAAUCGA